CCUACGGGGCGCUGCAGUGAGGAAUAUUGGUCAAUGGACGAGAGUCUGAACCAGCCAAGUAGCGUGAAGGAUGACUGCCCUAUGGGUUGUAAACUUCUUUUAUAUGGGAAUAAAACAGGGUAUGCAUACCCUCUGGUAUGUACCAUAUGAAUAAGGAUCGGCUAACUCCGUGCCAGCAGCCGCGGUAAUACGGAGGAUCCGAGCGUUAUCCGGAUUUAUUUGGUUUAAAGGGCUCGUAGGUGGAUUGUUAAGUCAGUUGUGAAAGUUUGCGGCUCAACCGUAAAAUUGCAGUUGAAACUGGCAGUCUUGAGUACAGUAGAGGUGGGCGGAAUUCGUGGUGUAGCGGUGAAAUGCUUAGAUAUCACGAAGAACUCCGAUUGCGAAGGCAGCUCACUGGACUGCAACUGACACUGAUGCUCGAAAGUGUGGGUAUCAAACAGGAUUAGAUACCCCAGUAGUC
rnacentral:rRNA from 1 species